AUGUCAUUGUCGGAAACUAGGGUAUGGGUUGCCGGCAAGUACCUGGCCAAAAGUUCGACUUGUUGUAAGUUGGCGGUUUGGCGGGGAGGUCAAGGUCCCUCCGCGCGUCUUGUCAUCGUGGUUACUGGCUUUGGUGAAGGUGGUGCUGGUGCUGGUGCUUCUGGGCGUGGUCGUCGUCGCUACUCAUGCCACGAGUGCCCGACGGGUACCCCGGGUGGCUCAGUCUGUCUGACCAACAACCUACUGGACUAUAUCAUCAAGCUGGCCGGGAAAGGGAAAGUCAUUGUGAACGAGCUGGCUGGAGCCUGUCACAGCUGUAACUCCCGGCACUACAGAGGAGAGGCUGUGGACCUACAUAACGACCAGAGGACUGCCGAGUAUCUGAGGGAGUGUGUUGCUAUGGGCGGCUGGGGCCAGGACGAGGGGAACCACGUCCACUGCCAGUUCUACGACUGACCGCUGUGACGUCAUCCAGCACGGUCUGCGACAUCACCCAACAUGGUGGUCUGUGACGUCACCCAACAUGGUGGUCUGUGACGUCACCCAACAUGGUGGUCUGUGACGUCACCCAACAUGGUGGUCUGUAAACAGACGUCACCCAACAUGGCGGUCUGUGAUGUCAUCUGUGUGAUCCUGACACAAUUUCUACUAUAAAUAAAUGACGAAGUAUGAGCGUUGUA